rnacentral:rRNA from 1 species
AUAAUGGGUCAGCGACUUAUAUUCUGUAGCAAGGUUAACCGAAUAGGGGAGCCGAAGGGAAACCGAGUCUUAACUGGGCGUUAAGUUGCAGGGUAUAGACCCGAAACCCGGUGAUCUAGCCAUGGGCAGGUUGAAGGUUGGGUAACACUAACUGGAGGACCGAACCGACUAAUGUUGAAAAAUUAGCGGAUGACUUGUGGCUGGGGGUGAAAGGCCAAUCAAACCGGGAGAUAGCUGGUUCUCCCCGAAAGCUAUUUAGGUAGCGCCUCGUGAAUUCAUCUCCGGGGGUAGAGCACUGUUUCGGCAAGGGGGUCAUCCCGACUUACCAACCCGAUGCAAACUGCGAAUACCGGAGAAUGUUAUCACGGGAGACACACGGCGGGUGCUAACGUCCGUCGUGAAGAGGGAAACAACCCAGACCGCCAGCUAAGGUCCCAAAGUCAUGGUUAAGUGGGAAACGAUGUGGGAAGGCCCAGACAGCCAGGAUGUUGGCUUAGAAGCAGCCAUCAUUUAAAGAAAGCGUAAUAGCUCACUGGUCGAGUCGGCCUGCGCGGAAGAUGUAACGGGGCUAAACCAUGCACCGAAGCUGCGGCAGCGACACUAUGUGUUGUUGGGUAGGGGAGCGUUCUGUAAGCCUGUGAAGGUGUACUGUGAGGUAUGCUGGAGGUAUCAGAAGUGCGAAUGCUGACAUAAGUAACGAUAAAGCGGGUGAAAAGCCCGCUCGCCGGAAGACCAAGGGUUCCUGUCCAACGUUAAUCGGGGCAGGGUGAGUCGACCCCUAAGGCGAGGCCGAAAGGCGUAGUCGAUGGGAAACAGGUUAAUAUUCCUGUACUUGGUGUUACUGCGAAGGGGGGACGGAGAAGGCUAUGUUGGCCGGGCGACGGUUGUCCCGGUUUAAGCGUGUAGGCUGGUUUUCCAGGCAAAUCCGGAAAAUCAAGGCUGAGGCGUGAUGACGAGGCACUACGGUGCUGAAGCAACAAAUGCCCUGCUUCCAGGAAAAGCCUCUAAGCAUCAGGUAACAUCAAAUCGUACCCCAAACCGACACAGGUGGUCAGGUAGAGAAUACCAAGGCGCUUGAGAGAACUCGGGUGAAGGAACUAGGCAAAAUGGUGCCGUAACUUCGGGAGAAGGCACGCUGAUAUGUAGGUGAAGUCCCUCGCGGAUGGAGCUGAAAUCAGUCGAAGAUACCAGCUGGCUGCAACUGUUUAUUAAAAACACAGCACUGUGCAAACACGAAAGUGGACGUAUACGGUGUGACGCCUGCCCGGUGCCGGAAGGUUAAUUGAUGGGGUUAGCGCAAGCGAAGCUCUUGAUCGAAGCCCCGGUAAACGGCGGCCGUAACUAUAACGGUCCUAAGGUAGCGAAAUUCCUUGUCGGGUAAGUUCCGACCUGCACGAAUGGCGUAAUGAUGGCCAGGCUGUCUCCACCCGAGACUCAGUGAAAUUGAACUCGCUGUGAAGAUGCAGUGUACCCGCGGCAAGACGGAAAGACCCCGUGAACCUUUACUAUAGCUUGACACUGAACAUUGAGCCUUGAUGUGUAGGAUAGGUGGGAGGCUUUGAAGUGUGGACGCCAGUCUGCAUGGAGCCGACCUUGAAAUACCACCCUUUAAUGUUUGAUGUUCUAACGUUGACCCGUGAUCCGGGUUGCGGACAGUGUCUGGUGGGUAGUUUGACUGGGGCGGUCUCCUCCUAAAGAGUAACGGAGGAGCACGAAGGUUGGCUAAUCCUGGUCGGACAUCAGGAGGUUAGUGCAAUGGCAUAAGCCAGCUUGACUGCGAGCGUGACGGCGCGAGCAGGUGCGAAAGCAGGUCAUAGUGAUCCGGUGGUUCUGAAUGGAAGGGCCAUCGCUCAACGGAUAAAAGGUACUCCGGGGAUAACAGGCUGAUACCGCCCAAGAGUUCAUAUCGACGGCGGUGUUUGGCACCUCGAUGUCGGCUCAUCACAUCCUGGGGCUGAAGUAGGUCCCAAGGGUAUGGCUGUUCGCCAUUUAAAGUGGUACGCGAGCUGGGUUUAGAACGUCGUGAGACAGUUCGGUCCCUAUCUGCCGUGGGCGCUGGAGAACUGAGGGGGGCUGCUCCUAGUACGAGAGGACCGGAGUGGACGCAUCACUGGUGUUCGGGUUGUCAUGCCAAUGGCACUGCCCGGUAGCUAAAUGCGGAAGAGAUAAGUGCUGAAAGCAUCUAAGCACGAAACUUGCCCCGAGAUGAGUUCUCCCUGACUCCUUGAGAGUCCUGAAGGAACGUUGAAGACGACGACGUUGAUAGGCCGGGUGUGUAAGCGCAGCGAUGCGUUGAGCUAACCGGUACUAAUGAACCGUGAGG